rnacentral:other from 1 species
CGACUUCUGCAUCGUUCGAGAAGUUUCUUCGGUUUUUUUCCUUACUCCAUUACUUAAGGGAAUCCAUCGACAAUCGUCUGCAGUCAGGCCGUAAAUCGGAAGACUAAAGGCGCUGCGAGGGUACCCACCUGGACCUAACAAGGUCAUAUAACCGAUGACCGCGAUGCACGGCGGAGGCAGAAGUCAC